rnacentral:rRNA from 1 species
UACGUAGGGGGCAAGCGUUGUCCGGAUUUACUGGGCGUAAAGCGCGUGUAGGCGGUUCCGCCAGUCUGGUGUGAAAGCCCGGGGCUCAACCCCGGAAGCGCAUUGGAUACUACGGAGCUUGAGUCCGGAAGAGGAAAGUGGAAUUCCUGGUGUAGCGGUGAAAUGCGCAGAUAUCAGGAGGAACACCAAUGGCGAAGGCAGCACUCUGGGACGUGACUGACGCUGAGACGCGAAAGCGUGGGGAGCAAACAGG